rnacentral:rRNA from 1 species
AGGACAAACGCUGGCGGCGUGCGUAACACAUGCAAGUCGAACGGGGUCAGCGGGACUUUCGGGUUCUGCUGGUCUAGUGGCGGACGGGUGAGUAACACGUGGAUAACCUACCCUGGUGUGGGGGAUACCCUGUAGAAAUAUAGGCUAAUACCGCAUGAGGUGGAGCUUGGGGGACUAAGCUUCAAGAAAGUCGUAAGACGCAGCAGGUGGGGUCCGCGGCCGAUUAGCUAGUUGGUUGGGUAACGGCCUACAACGCGACGACGGGUA